rnacentral:snRNA from 1 species
GUGUUAGUUCUCUAACACAUAUAAAACUAAAAUUGCGAACGAUAACAGAGAAGAUUAGCAUGGCCCCUGCGCAAGGAUGACACGCCAAAUUCGUGGAAGCGUUCCUCAUUUUG